UGGGGAAUAUUGGGCAAUGGGGGCAACCCUGACCCAGCAACGCCGCGUGAGGGAUGAAGGCCUUCGGGUUGUAAACCUCUGUCCUCGGGGACGAAGAAAAUGACGGUACCCGGGGAGGAAGCUCCGGCUAACUACGUGCCAGCAGCCGCGGUAAUACGUAGGGAGCGAGCGUUGUCCGGAAUCACUGGGCGUAAAGGGUGCGUAGGCGGUUUGGUAAGUCAGAUGUGAAAUACCCGGGCUUAACUCGGGGGCUGCAUCUGAUACUGUCAGACUUGAGUACAGGAGAGGAAAGUGGAAUUCCUAGUGUAGCGGUGAAAUGCAUAGAUAUUAGGAGGAACACCAGUGGCGAAGGCGGCUUUCUGGACUGUAACUGACGCUGAGGCACGAAAGCGUGGGGAGCAAACAGG
rnacentral:rRNA from 1 species